AGUGAACGCUGGCGGUAGGCCUAACACAUGCAAGUCGAACGGCAGCACAGUAAGAGCUUGCUCUUACGGGUGGCGAGUGGCGGACGGGUGAGGAAUACAUCGGAAUCUACUUUUUCGUGGGGGAUAACGUAGGGAAACUUACGCUAAUACCGCAUACGACCUACGGGUGAAAGCAGGGGAUCUUCGGACCUUGCGCGAUUGAAUGAGCCGAUGUCGGAUUAGCUAGUUGGCGGGGUAAAGGCCCGCCAAGGCGACGAUCCGUAGCUGGUGUGAGAGGAUGAUCAGCCACACUGGAGCGGGGACACGGUCCAGACUCCUACGGGAGGCAGCAGUGGGGAAUAUUGGACAAGGGGCGCAAGCCUGAUCCAGCCAUACCGCGUGGGUGAAGAAGGCCUUCGGGUUGUAAAGCCCUUUUGUUGGGAAAGAAAAGCAGCAGGUUAAUACCCCGCUGUUCUGACGGUACCCAAAGAAUAAGCACCGGCUAACUUCGUG
rnacentral:rRNA from 1 species